AAGAGCUCCCAGUUGCCAGCUGACAAGCACUGUGGUACCUGCCAUCUCUGAAGCCAGAAUCACAGCCCAGACUCCAGGAAGCAGUGCCAAGGUUUGACAUCAGCAGCAAAGCAUGAAGGGCCAGCUGGAGGAGCACCCGUGUUCCCAGGAACGAAUGAUAACAGAGCAGAGUGUGUGGUGUUGGGCCUGUCCCAGGAAUUCCAGGUGGCCAUACACAUGAUCCUUUAAGUUAUUGACCAUUUCCUGUUGUGCAACCAAUUGUCCCUGAUUGCCUGAAAAGAAUCAGGACACAUCUCUGACAAUGUUUGUUCCACAGUGGGAGGGAGGCGAGGCGGGCAGGGAAGAGUUGCUGGUGAUUUCCAGUGACAUCAGAAAGAACCUUUAAACCA
rnacentral:lncRNA from 1 species